rnacentral:sRNA from 1 species
AGCAGCCGCGGUAAUUCCAGCUCCAAUAGCGUAUAUUAAAGUUGUUGCAGUUAAAAAGCUCGUAGUUGAAUUUCGGGAUCAAUUGAUUGGUCAUGCCUACGGUAUGUACUAGUCAUAUUGGUUCUCACCUUCUAAUGAACCUUAAUGUCAUUCACUUGAUGUUUUGGGGAAUUAGGACUGUUACCUUGAAAAAAUUAGAGUGUUUAAAGCAGGCUUACGCUUGAAUACAUUAGCAUGGAAUAAUGAAAUAGGACAUCGCAUUCUAUUUUGUUGGUUUCUAGGAUCGAUGUAAUGAUUAAUAGGGAUAGUUGGGGGCAUUAGUAUUCAAUUGUCAGAGGUGAAAUUCUUGGAUUUAUUGAAGACUAACUACUGCGAAAGCAUUUGCCAAGGAUGUUUUCAUUAAUCAAGAACGAAAGUUAGGGGAUCGAAGACGAUCAGAUACCGUCGUAGUCUUGACCAUAAACUAUGCCGACUAGGGAUCGGAUGAUGUUAAUUUUAAAUGACU